rnacentral:rRNA from 1 species
AGUGAACGCUGGCGGCAGGCCUAACACAUGCAAGUCGAGCGGCAGCGCGGGGGCAACCCUGGCGGCGAGCGGCGGACGGGUGAGGAAUUCGUCGGAAUCUGCCUUUUUGUGGGGGAUAACGUAGGGAAACUUACGCUAAUACCGCAUACGUCCUACGGGAGAAAGUGGGGGACCGCAAGGCCUCACGCAGAAAGAUGAGCCGACGACCGAUUAGCUAGUUAGUGGGGUAAAGGCCCACCAAGGCGACGAUCGGUAGCUGGUCUGAGAGGAUGAUCAGCCACACUGGGACUGAGACACGGCCCAGACUCCUACGGGAGGCAGCAGUGGGGAAUAUUGGACAAUGGGCGCAAGCCUGAUCCAGCCAUGCCGCGUGUGUGAAGAAGGCCUUCGGGUUGUAAAGCACUUUUGUCCGGAAAGAAAUCCCUGGAGCUAAUACCUUCGGGGGAUGACGGUACCGGAAGAAUAAGCACCGGCUAACUUCGUG